CCCAAACCAAUAAAGUUUUCUUUAUUGGGGUUGCGGACAUAUCAUAACGAAGAGGUAUCGUAAUUGAAGAGGUUUGGAAAGACCCACCACAGAAGGUAAUAGUCCUGUAUGUUAAACGAGAAGACUUUAGAUAUGAUCCAGAGUACCACGGGACACGUGAAACCCUGUGGGAAGCAGGAGGGACCACCCUCCAAGGCUAAAUACUACCUAGUGACCGAUAGCGUAUAGUACCGUGAGGGAAAGGUGAAAAGAACCCCGGGAGGGGAGUGAAAUAGAACCUGAAACCCUGUACUUACAAGCUGUGGAAGCACAUUUCUUGUGUGACCGCGUACUUUUUGUAGAACGGGCCAACGAGUUACGUUAAGUAGCCAGGUUAAGCACUUAAGGUGUGGAGCCGUAGCGAAAGCGAGUUUUAACUGAGCGUUCAGUUACUUGACGUAGACCCGAAACCGGGCGACCUACCCAUGAGCAGGAUGAAGCGAAAGUAAAAUUUCGUGGAGGUCCGAACCCACGAGCGUUGAAAAGCUAGGGGAUGACUUGUGGGUAGCGGUGAAAUUCCAAUCGAGCCCGGAGAUAGCUGGUUCU
rnacentral:rRNA from 1 species